UGUUGGGGAGGGGUAACUGGGGCUUGAACCCUGCCUCAUGCUUGCAGUGCAAGCCCUCUACUAUUUGAGUUUGAGCCACUCUGCCAGUCUUACUAGCUUUUAUUCCAAGCAAUCCAAAGACUGCCUUGCUUGAAACCCUUAGAGAUAGACAAAAGACUACAGGAAAAUAGGUAAUGCUUUCUGGCAGGUGUGUUUCCAUUAUCUGAUGAGACCAGAAAUGCUGAGAAGCUAAUCGAGAAGCACACAACAAAGUUAUCAUGCAGUUUGAAAGCAGAUAUAGUUAAUUUAGGAAACAGCUUUAGCUAGAAGGCUCAGUUCUAAAGAAAAGCGAGAAAGCUCAGCAAGAAGCAAAAUGAGAAGGUUUUUGAACACAAGAAGCUCUAACCAGGGAAAUUUCAGAACUUUCAUCUCUUUUAGUGGACUAUUCUCACUAGAGUCAGCUAUUUCAAUUGUUUCUCAUUGCUAGCUAUUACACUGAGUGAAUAUAUCAUGACUCCAAAAUAACUAUUAGUAAAACACUAAUCAAGGAGUUGAUUGGUUAAAAACAAGAGUAAGUUUUGGGGGUUCCUGAAGUGAAUGAGCCUCUUUCUGCUACCAGCUGUCAGAUGCACAAAAUAUUAUGCAGUACGCAAUGAGAAAUUAGGACAACAACAACAGCAGCUCUCCACAAGGAAUCUGGGAGAAUGUUAAAAUUUUGCCUGUGAUGGACAAAAAAUGACAGUGGUUUAUGAAUGAAUAUCUAAUGUGAAAGCCAUCUUCCAUCAAGGAAAUAAUUCCUGAUUUUUCUUGGUCAUCAAUGUCCAGGUAUGCCCAGGACUCUCCUGAUUUUAAAAUCACAUGUCCUGAGUCUGAGGAAUUUCUCAUUACUGAACAUACUAAGAGAUUGGCUACGCUACAUAAAACGAUCAUGGAAAUGUGAGGCUAUUACGAAGUGCACAGACCCCUCCAAGUUGUUCUUUAUUCUCCCAUACAUUUAUGAUUUUGAGAUAGGGUCUUACUCUAUUAUUGCCAGGCUGGCCUGGGAGAUGAUCCCUCUACUUGUGCUUUCUAUGUUGGUGACCACUACAACAGCCAUUGUGCUUCCGAAGUAGCUGAGAUGGAUUCACAAUAACAUGUGUUUGACCAGAUUGGCCUUCAGUCACACUAUCCCUUCAAUCUUAUUUUCCCAAGUAGCCUGGCUUACAGACUUGGGCUGCUGUCAGUCCUCUUACAGCUUUUAAUAUCAAAAACAUAGUAACAGAUGGUAGAUACCCUGGACUAACGAACAAACACA